UUGGCUCUGGCAUCGAUGAAGAACGCAGCGAAAUGCGAUAAGUAAUGUGAAUUGCAGAAUUCAGUGAAUCAUCGAAUCUUUGAACGCACAUUGCGCCCGCCAGUAUUCUGGCGGGCAUGCCUGUUCGAGCGUCAUUACAACCCUCAGGCCCCCGGG
rnacentral:rRNA from 1 species